GAAACUGCGAAUGGCUCAUUACACCAGCCUUAAUUUACUUGACCUUGACACCCUACUUGGAUAACUGUGGUAAUUCUAGAGCUAAUACAUGCACCAAAGCUCCAAUCUCCCCAGAGCGGAGCGCAUUUGUUCGCCACAAAACCAAGCGCCUCAGGGCGUUCAGUGUUGACUCAGAACAACUAAGCUGAUCGCACGGUCUUGCACCGGCGACGUGUCUUUCAAGUGUCUGCCUUAUCAACUUUCGAUGGUAGUGUAUCUGACUACCAUGGUGAUGACGGGUAACGGAGGAUAAGGGUUCGACUCCGGAGAAGGGGCCUGAGAAAUGGCCACUACGUCUAAGGAUGGCAGCAGGCGCGCAAAUUACCCACUCUCGACGCGAGGAGGUAGUGACGAGAAAUAACGAGACCGUUCUCAUCUGAGGCCGGUCAUCGGAAUGGGUACAAUUUAAACCCUUUAACGAGUAUCUAUGAGAGGGCAAGUCUGGUGCCAGCAGCCGCGGUAAUUCCAGCUCUCAAAAUGCAUAGAAUUAUUGCUGCGGUUAAAAAGCUCGUAGUUGGAUCUGUGCUGAGCGACCGGUCUGCCCACUGGGCACGCACUGGCUCGCCCGGCUUUCCCUGCCGGUCUCUCUCUGACGUUGGUUUUAACCGGCUGGCGUCAGUGGGCUGGCGAGUUUACUUUGAACAAAUCAGAGUGCUUCAAACAGGCGUCUCGCCUGAAUGUUCGUGCAUGGAAUAAUAGAAGAGGAUCACGGUCCGAUUUUAUUGGUUUUGCUGACCGAGAUAAUGGUUAACAGAGACAAACGGGGCCAUUCGUAUUGCUACGUGAGGGGUGAAAUUCUUGGACCGUAGCAAGACGGACUACAGCGAAAGCAUUUGGCAAGAAUGUCUUCAUUAAUCAAGAACGAAAGUCAGAGGUUCGAAGGCGAUCAGAUACCGCCCUAGUUCUGACCGUAAACGAUGCCAACUAGCGAUCCGCCGGCGGAUUCAUUCGCCCUGGUGGGGAGCUUCCCGGAAACGAAAGUCUUCCGGUUCCGGGGGAAGUAUGGUUGCAAAGCUGAAACUUAAAGGAAUUGACGGAAGGGCACCACCAGGAGUGGAGCCUGCGGCUUAAUUUGACUCAACACGGGGAAACUCACCCGGCCCGGACACCGUAAGGAUUGACAGAUUGAUAGCUUUUUCAUGAUUCGGUGGAUGGUGGUGCAUGGCCGUUCUUAGUUCGUGGAGCGAUUUGUCUGGUUUAUUCCGAUAACGAGCGAGACUCUGGCCUACUAAAUAGUUGGCACAUUGCCACUGUGUGCACAACUUCUUAGAGGGAUUUUCGGUGUUCAGCCGCACGAAAUUGAGCAAUAACAGGUCUGUGAUGCCCUUAGAUGUCCGGGGCUGCACGCGCGCUACACUGGCAAAAUCAGCGUGCUUGUCCUCCCCCGAAAGGGGUUGGUAAACCGAUGAAAAUUUGCCGUGAUUGGGAUCGGACAUUGCAAUUAUUGUCCGUGAACGAGGAAUCCCUUGUAAGGGCGAGUCAUCAACUCGUCCUGAAUACGUCCCUGCCCUUUGUACACACCGCCCGUCGCUGCCCGGGACUGAGCCAUUUCGAGAAAACCGGGGAUUGUUGGCCUGACGGCUCUCGGGUCGUCUAGCCGAUGAGAACCGGCUUAAUCGCACUGGUUUGAACCGGGCAAAAGUCGUAACAAGGUAGCUGUAGGUGAACCUGCAGCAGGAUCA
rnacentral:rRNA from 1 species